rnacentral:rRNA from 1 species
AGUGAACGCUGGCGGUAGGCCUAACACAUGCAAGUCGAACGGCAGCACAGUAAGAGCUUGCUCUUACGGGUGGCGAGUGGCGGACGGGUGAGGAAUACAUCGGAAUCUACUUUUUCGUGGGGGAUAACGUAGGGAAACUUACGCUAAUACCGCAUACGACCUACGGGUGAAAGCAGGGGAUCUUCGGACCUUGCGCGAUUGAAUGAGCCGAUGUCGGAUUAGCUAGUUGGCGGGGUAAAGGCCCACCAAGGCGACGAUCCGUAGCUGGUCUGAGAGGAUGAUCAGCCACACUGGAACUGAGACACGGUACAGACUCCUACGGGAGGCAGCAGUGGGGAAUAUUGGACAAUGGGCGCAAGCCUGAUCCAGCCAUACCGCGUGGGUGAAGAAGGCCUUCGGGUUGUAAAGCCCUUUUGUUGGGAAAGAAAAGCAGCAGGUUGAUACCCCGCUGUUCUGACGGUACCCAAAGAAGAAGCACCGGCUAACUUCGUG